GACAGGUGCUGCAUGGCUGUCGUCAGCUCGUGUCGUGAGAUGUUGGGUUAAGUCCCGCAACGAGCGCAACCCUUGCCAUUAGUUGCUACGAAAGGGCACUCUAAUGGGACUGCCGGUGACAAACCGGAGGAAGGUGGGGAUGACGUCAAGUCCUCAUGGCCCUUAUAGGUGGGGCUACACACGUCAUACAAUGGCCGGUACAGAGGGUAGCCAACCCGCGAGGGGAGCCAAUCCCACAAAGCCGGUCGUAGUCCGGAUCGCAGUCUGCAACUCGACUGCGUGAAGUCGGAAUCGCUAGUAAUCGCGGAUCAGCAUGUCGCGGUGAAUACGUUCCCGGGUCUU
rnacentral:rRNA from 1 species